UGCCCGCCUGGCGGCCGGGGAGCAGCUCGCCGGGGAUUUGAAGCGCCGGAACUUGGUAGCCGAAAACAUGGGGAAAGCUGUGUUGUCUAGAGGCGUUCCCGUGUGCUUAGCGCGGGUCAGAGGUGGCUCGAGCUCUGCGGCCAGUUCUGGGCCCCUCAGUUCAGGAGGGACAUGGAAGUUCUAGAGAAUGUCCAGUGAAGGACAACAGAGCUGGUGAAGCGUCGGGAGCAGAAGUCUGAUGAGGAGCGGCUGAGGGUGUUUUGCCUGGAGAACAGGAAGCUCAGGGAGAACCUUAUCGCUCUCUACAAUUCUUGAAGGGAGGUUGUCACCAGGGGGGAGUUGGCCUCUUCUCCCAGGAAACUGGUAACAACAGCAUGAAAGGACUUGGCCUCAUGGAGGUGGUCAGGGAGGUUUAGUCUGUACGGCAAGAGGAAUUUCUUCAUUGAAAGGGUGAUUAGACAAUGGAACAGAAGUCACUAUCCCUGGAGGUCUUUAAAGAAAGACCGGACGUGGUACUUAGUGCUGUAGUCUGAUUGACAUGGUGUUAGGUCAUGGUUUGGACUCGGUAAUCUCACAGGUCUUUUGCAACCUAAUUGAUUUUGUGAUUAUGGACAGCCCUUAAUUCCAGAAUAGUAAUGAGUAAGUAAUGUAACUCUGAUGUCCCGAUUCCAGCUGGGGCAGUGUUAAUUUUUGCAGGUGUCAGAAAGGAGCACGGCUCAGAGGUGGAGGUUAUUCUAUCCCACCUCACAUCACUGGUCAUUGCCAGGAACUGGGGAAAAAAGGGAUUUCUUCCCAUGGAGAAGACAUGGAGGAGGGAGUCGAUUGGUACUGUGUAUUGGGAGUGGGGACAGGUUUCUUAUCUCGUUGAUGCUUCCAUUAUAUUUUUGUGCCUCCAAUUCUCCAUCUCAACACAACAGGAAACCUAAGGGGAAGAGAGAGUGAGAGAGAGCAGUGUGUGGUUUUGGAAAGUCUCAGUGAGGGUCCUGAACUGGGGGGUACCAUUCCUAAACCAUGAUACCUGGGCAGAACCUGAAGAGGUCUGCUUUAAGGUACUGCCAACAUCGCCUGGCUUUUGCUGAAAUUCACCCAGUGCUGCAGAAGGUUUAGUUCACAUGAACUGUUUUGCUGUUCUUUUGAGUUAAUUCCUUGGAUUAAAGAAUAAUAUUAAGAUUGUGUUACAUGCUAAGAGGAUAUGCCAUCAGAGGGAAAACAGAAGAGGUGAAAUUUAGUCCACAGAAGUGCUUUACUUUGUUGGUGACUCCAAGCCCUACUCAAGCCCCUGUUGGAAUUCACAGGAUUAGAAUGAAUCAGAAAUGAAAGCAGGAGCCCCUCCCUCUAAGUUCGGACGUCCACUUGGAAACCUCUCAGUCCCACUCCCAGUUCAAAUGAUCUGUGGGGGCAAGUGUUCCAGCUAAGAUCUUGCAGUUGGACACUUUGGUUUCGCCAAGAUCAAGCUCUCAUCAGGCUCAGAUUUUCAGAGCUAUUUUAAUGAGAUGAAAGAAAUCUUAAUUAAGUGUUCAUAUCUUUGUCAGCCAGACUCAGAAUAAAAAUUGAUGUGAUUCCCUUGA